CGCGGAGUAGAGCAGCUGGCAGCUCGUCGGGCUCAUAACCCGGAGGUCACAGGUUCGAAUCCUGUCUUCCGCAA
rnacentral:tRNA from 1 species